AUGAGGGCUCUGUGCCCAGCCAAUGGCGCGCGCGCGCUCUGACUCGCGGGCGCGCUGCCUCCGUCGCAGCCCUCGCCGGGUGGCGCGCACCCGCAACCCACCUGCGGGCGCGUAGACCCUACCCUGGCUUCUCCCGCGCGCCGCGCGCGGCCCACACUGCCUCCCUAACCCCGCCUGCCGCGCGCACGCGCUCUCGGCUCUCCCUGGCGCCGCAGCCUGCGCGCCUUCUCACGCUGGAAGCGAAGAAGGUUGGAGCGCGCCAGAAGCGCGGGCUGUGGCAAGCUGCUCCGCGCGUCCGCUCGCCCGGCGAUGGCGGAUAGGCUCUAUUCACAAUGCCAGGCAGAGCUAGGACUGCCAUCCCGGGCUGCGACGAGACAAGCGCGCGCUGAUUGAUUGCUUGUUGACCACACAUUGGGAAACUGAGGCCCGAACCGCCUAAGAUUCUCUUUCCCGGCUCUGCGAGCCCAGCCGACGUUCCUUACAAGGUCCCGGCAGUGAGGAAUGAGCGGCCACCUGAGGACUGCACCGGGCAGGGAGCAAGAACUCAGUGGCCCUGCCCUUUCUUUUCAUCAUCUGCUGCAGAACAGCAUCAUAUUCAAGAAUGAGGACAUGAUGAGCAGGGGGUGGUUUUCACGACAGGAUGCUUCCCGAGCAAGAUAAAAGGGUCCAGGAGACACGGGGCCAUUCAUCUACACAUUCUGGAGGCGGAAGUCAGACAUGAUUUUCUGGACUCACAGACAACCCAGGAGCAAUAAGAGAAAACAUCACAUUUGUCUUUCGGAGACUGACCUAAGACGACUCCUAUGAUUCUCUUCAGCAGCAUCCAUGCUUCUGUGAACAGUGUGACUUCUUUUGUGGGUACUGAGAAAUCCAUCAUGUGUAUUUCACAUCCUGGUUAUCCAUUGCUCUUUUGAUGGAUGCUGUACUGGCUGGUUCUGUGUGUCCACUUGACACAAGCUGGGGUUAUCCCAGAGAAAGGAGCCUCCCUUGAGGAGAUGCCGCCAUGAGACCCAGCUGUAAGGCAUUUUCUCAAUUAGUGAUCAAGGGGAGAAGGUCCAGCCCAAUGUGGGCGGUGCCAUCCCGGGGCUGGUGGUCCUGGGUUCUAUAAGAAAGCAGGCUGAGCAAGCCAGGGGGAGCAAACACAGUAAGCAACAUCCCUCCAUGGCCUCUGCAUC
ensembl:lncRNA LOC120098901 uncharacterized LOC120098901